UAGGGCGGGACACGUGGUAUCCUGUCUGAAUAUGGGGGGACCAUCCUCCAAGGCUAAAUACUCCUGACUGACCGAUAGUGAACCAGUACCGUGAGGGAAAGGCGAAAAGAACCCCGGCGAGGGGAGUGAAAAAGAACCUGAAACCGUGUACGUACAAGCAGUGGGAGCCUCUUAAUGGGGUGACUGCGUACCUUUUGUAUAAUGGGUCAGCGACUUAUAUUCUGUAGCAAGGUUAACCGAAUAGGGGAGCCGAAGGGAAACCGAGUCUUAACUGGGCGUUAAGUUGCAGGGUAUAGACCCGAAACCCGGUGAUCUAGCCAUGGGCAGGUUGAAGGUUGGGUAACACUAACUGGAGGACCGAACCGACUAAUGUUGAAAAAUUAGCGGAUGACUUGUGGCUGGGGGUGAAAGGCCAAUCAAACCGGGAGAUAGCUGGUUCUCCCCGAAAGCUAUUUAGGUAGCGCCUCGUGAAUUCAUCUCCGGGGGUAGAGCACUGUUUCGGCAAGGGGGUCAUCCCGACUUACCAACCCGAUGCAAACUGCGAAUACCGGAGAAUGUUAUCACGGGAGACACACGGCGGGUGCUAACGUCCGUCGUGAAGAGGGAAACAACCCAGACCGCCAGCUAAGGUCCCAAAGUCAUGGUUAAGUGGGAAACGAUGUGGGAAGGCCCAGACAGCCAGGAUGUUGGCUUAGAAGCAGCCAUCAUUUAAAGAAAGCGUAAUAGCUCACUGGUCGAGUCGGCCUGCGCGGAAGAUGUAACGGGGCUAAACCAUGCACCGAAGCUGCGGCAGCGACACUAUGUGUUGUUGGGUAGGGGAGCGUUCUGUAAGCCUGUGAAGGUGGCCUGUGAGGGUUGCUGGAGGUAUCAGAAGUGCGAAUGCUGACAUAAGUAACGAUAAAGCGGGUGAAAAGCCCGCUCGCCGGAAGACCAAGGGUUCCUGUCCAACGUUAAUCGGGGCAGGGUGAGUCGACCCCUAAGGCGAGGCCGAAAGGCGUAGUCGAUGGGAAACAGGUUAAUAUUCCUGUACUUGGUGUUACUGCGAAGGGGGGACGGAGAAGGCUAUGUUGGCCGGGCGACGGUUGUCCCGGUUUAAGCGUGUAGGCUGGUUUUCCAGGCAAAUCCGGAAAACC
rnacentral:rRNA from 1 species